GAGGGAGCGCAGGAUGCUGGGCUGUGUCCCCCGGCGCCCUGGGCUCCGGGGCCUGCACCACUGGAAUCGCGCUCCCGGGCCACGCAGCCCUUC
rnacentral:pre_miRNA from 1 species